UACGAAGGGGGCUAGCGUUGCUCGGAUUGACUGGGCGUAAAGGGCGCGUAGGCGGUUCGUACAGUCAGACGUGAAAUUCCUGGGCUCAACCUGGGGGCUGCGUUUGAUACGUGCGGACUUGAGUGCGGAAGAGGGUCGUGGAAUUCCCAGUGUAGAGGUGAAAUUCGUAGAUAUUGGGAAGAACACCGGUGGCGAAGGCGGCGACCUGGUCCGAUACUGACGCUGAGGCGCGAAAGCCAGGGGAGCGAACGGG
rnacentral:rRNA from 1 species